rnacentral:tRNA from 1 species
GUGCUUCUAGCUCAAUGGAUUAGAGCGUCUGGCUACGGACCAGAAGGUUACGAGUUCGACUCUUGUGAAGCACG